AACGCUAGCUACAGGCUUAACACAUGCAAGUCGAGGGGUAGCACGGAGGCAAGCUUGCUUCCUUGGGUGACGACCGGCGCACGGGUGAGUAACGCGUAUCCGACCUACCCAUAACACGGGCACAGCCGCUCGAAAGAGUGAUUGAUUCCCGAUAUGUCUUGUGAGUAGAUUGCAAGAUGAAAGAUUUAUCGGUUAUGGAUGGGGAUGCGUAAGAUUAGGUAGUAGGCGGGGUAACGGCCCACCUAGCCGACGAUCUUUAGGGGUUCUGAGAGGAAGGUCCCCCACACUGGUACUGAGACACGGACCAGACUCCUACGGGAGGCAGCAGUGAGGAAUAUUGGUCAAUGGGCGGAAGCCUGAACCAGCCAAGUAGCGUGAAGGAUUACAGCCCUACGGGUUUUAAACUUCUUUUAUAUGAGAGUAAUGUGCGCUACGUGUAGCGUAUUGCAAGUAUCAUAUGAAUAAGCAUCGGCUAACUCCGUGCCAGCAGCCGCGGUAAUACGGAGGAUGCGAGCGUUAUCCGGAUUUAUUGGGUUUAAAGGGAGCGUAGGCGGGAUAUUAAGUCAGUCGUCAAAGCCUGUGGCUCAACCACAGCCCGCGAUUGGUACUGGUAACCUUGAGUGCGGAUGAGGUGGAUGGAAUUCGUGGUGUAGCGGUGAAAUGCUUAGAUAUCACGAAGAACUCCGAUUG
rnacentral:rRNA from 1 species